AUGACUAAAAGGUUUGAAACAAACCAGGUGUUUGAGAUGUUUGCAGCAAUUGAAAGAUGAAUACUACCUUGUGAAGGGCAAGUUGCAAACAUUGCUCACGCUGGAGCAACAAAUUGUAGCUGCUGGUGGGUCAAUGCCGAUUGUGGAAUAGAUGAGCAUGAUAUAUACAAGCGAACCUGUGUUGCUGGUGCGAAUUCUUCACUCGUGGAGUCUCCAACUGAGCCUAAAUGGUCCUUUACAGAAAAAAUAUGAAAUUAACAGGUUCUGGGAUUCUAGAAAUGAUCAGCUCCUUAUUACCAGACACAGACAGUCCCAUCGAAAAUAGCAAGGUCAGGAAUGGAAAUUGUAAAUUUAAUAUUUGCUGAUUCUGCUUCAUUACUGUAAAUUUUACCGAGCUUUUAGUGUUAUCCUUGUGUAUAUGUUGGUCACUUUUCCUCUUGCAUGGGCCAUGGAGUACUCUUUUUCGGAAAUGCGUGUGAUGUCAAAAAAGCCAGAAUUUGGUAGGAUGUAAAGGCAACCUAUUCAUUUAUUUAUCUAGUGCAGCAAGAGUUUAAAAGAAACACCGCUCUUGCCAGAAAUGAUCGUUUGGAUAAUCAAAAAAUUCCUUUUGAUGUUCCUUUUUUUGAUUAAUGACAUCCCACUGCUUUGGCUUCGGAAUUGUUGUCUGUUUAAAAAGAUGAGGCUUAUCAGACCAACUCUGGGUCCUAUACUUGCGGACUUCUGAUAUGCUUUCAGAAGCUUUUGCCCAUCCAUUGUUCUUCGAGGUGCCUAGAAGAACACUAUGAGUGAUGAGCCAUGGAUGGUAGAAUUCAGGCCUAUUAUUGUUGGUGAUGUUCAAAAGAGCUGAAAGACUCUCCUCUGAUCCUCAUCGCCUGCCUCUGUUUCCUCUUUCCUAAAUGAAAGAAGCAAGAGUAGGACGGUCCAACUCUUAUGGCACGCCGCCUAAUCAUUUCAGUGUCGGGAAGACUUACAACACAAAUCAUCCAAAACCUCGAAUCACAGUUCACGAGAGCCUCUCAUAUCACAUAACUUGUAGCCCGCGAUUCUGAGAUCUACUUGUUAACCAUUGAUUCUGAUCCACUUGUGAGACUUAUGUGUAAAAACUUGGUGCAGGAUAUGUUUGUAGCUGCAACAGAGACAACAAGUACCUCAGUUGAGUGGGUAAUGUCUGAGAUUCUGGACAAAAAAAUUGAUACCAAGUUAGAAUUAAGUAUUUUUCAAAUUGACUCCUUGUCAUAUAAACAAGA